UGAACGCUGGCGGUAGGCCUAACACAUGCAAGUCGAACGGCAGCACAGUAAGAGCUUGCUCUUACGGGUGGCGAGUGGCGGCCGGGUGAGGAAUACAUCGGAAUCUACUUUUUCGUGGGGGAUAACGUAGGGAAACUUACGCUAAUACCGCAUACGACCUACGGGUGAAAGCAGGGGAUCUUCGGACCUUGCGCGAUUGAAUGAGCCGAUGUCGGAUUAGCUAGUUGGCGGGGUAAAGGCCCACCAAGGCGACGAUCCGUAGCCGGUCUGAGAGGAUGAUCAGCCACACUGGAACUGAGACACGGUCCAGACUCCUACGGGAGGCAGCAGUGGGGAAUAUUGGACAAUGGGCGCAAGCCUGAUCCAGCCAUACCGCGUGGGUGAAGAAGGCCUUCGGGUUGUAAAGCCCUUUUGUUGGGAAAGAAAAGCAGCAGGUUAAUACCCCGCUGUUCUGACGGUACCCAAAGAAUAAGCACCGGCUAACUUCGUG
rnacentral:rRNA from 1 species